AAACACGGUGAGAGGGAAAGCAUUUUAGGCACAGAGCCUAGACCAACAUAAGAGAGAAGCUGUGUGUGUCACAGUACAGAGAUCGCUGUGUUCACACUGGAUGGGGUGUGUACUGCCACUCCUGAGUUAAAAGUCUAAAGUCUUUGGACGUUUUUUUUUCAAUAUCCUUUAGAUUGAGCCAUGGAGCAGCUUUGAGUAGGUAAGUGCCAACUAUCCGUGAUCAGACAAGCAGACAGUUUAGACACAUAUAGCAUCGUAAUUGACUUGUAACCCACAGUAGGAUUCUCUAUUCUGUAGGAUGGAUGGUUCUAUAAAAGCGAUAUAUUUACGAGAGCAGUGCCAGAUGGUUUAACGUUUAAGUACGUUAUGGGGUACCAUGUUAAUUCGGGACAUGUGUGGAAUUAUUAUUAAAGAGACACUGGAAAUACGUGUCUGAUGUUAAAAAUAUCAUAUGACGUGUAAAUCAAUCAUCAGAAUCAUUAUAGCUCGUUAUUAAAAUUAUGAUAGCGUUUUUAGUUUUUACAUUUAAAAUUAUAUUAGUGUAGUAAUAUAACUACAAAAGGAUCGUUAAUUCCAUAGUUUUCCAUAGUUUUCAUAUAUUUGAAACACGACAUUGCUCCAUGUCCUAACAAAGGGCUGCUAAGAUUCUGCAAUAGACACAUGUGACAGUAAGUAUUGUGAUGGACACUUGGAGGGAAAUAUAGCUGGGGGAGCUGACACUGUUGGACAACAAACAGGGGUAUUCAAUAAAGUGAGGAUUCAAAAGAAUUUCACACUUCAGGCCAAAGUCGCCGAAUUAAAUGCAUGCCUGACUUUUUUCCAAUUCAGCUUAAUUAGACCUUACAUUUUAAAUUCACUUUGAAUUUGCGUUUUAUUGAAUAACCCUGAAAUGUGUUUGUAGCUGUUUAUGAGUGUGUUUGCUUCAGAAACUGUUAUAAUCAAUUGUAGUGUUAACAGAGUUCAGUAUAUAUCAGUUAGUUCUUUUACUACCCUGAGUACAAAACUUUUGUUUUAACAUCAUGGUUAUGACUUUUCUUGUUCUGAAGACAACGCCUGCACAGAUAUCAUUAUUAUUUGUCAUAAUGUGCCUGAUUCCUAUUCGUGUUGUGACAGAUGAACACUGCGUAUAGUGAUAUCACACACAGUACUGAUAUCCUGAAUGCAUUUGUUGUAACAAUAGCAGCAAAAGUUGCCCGAGGGGAUGAUUUACAACCAUAGUGAACUGAAUUCAGAGUGAGUAAUUCUGAGCUGACAUCCGCUUACAGAUGUUGUCCAAAAUACCCGAUUUAAGGGGGGAAAAGCACCAGCUGCGAAAAUUCAGUCAAUUUUCAAUUCACCAAAAUGCACUGCCAGGUGAACAAACCUUACAUAUGUCUACUGCAUUGAGAUACCUGAUGUUAUUCCGGUUUUUGUUUUUUUCUCUUAGAACACACACAUGUUGUGCACUAAACUGGGAAUCUGGAUAACUGAUAAAUCUGAAAAUAGUUGAUUUAAACUUUCUCUGACCUUAGCUUGGCUAAUUUGGUCUAAAACGUGCAUUUUCCCAAUCAAUAGUUCAAUGGAUAAUCACAUUGUUGUGGAACAGGCUAUAUGUCGAAAAUCCUGUUUGAAACAACAGUCCUGUUUGGGAUUUUAAAUCUGUUACAACACAGAAAUUACACCUUUGACGUCUGAGGGAAUUCUUUGUAUAAAUUAUUUGUUGAUGAAUGGCUACAAUUUUACAAUGAGAUUUGUAUUGAAGUGCUGCCAUGCCUCCUAUCACUCCCCAUCUAAUAAUCUGUCAUCUCUCAUUAAGGAACAAUAGUUUAGUGGCAGAUAAUUAGCUAUACAAUGGCAUUCCAGUUACUUGCCAAAGUCAUAAAAGAAUGCUAAUGUAUAUUUAUGUGACAAUUAAAAGGGAUAGCAAAACCUUUUUUAAAAUAAUCAUUAAGGCAAGUAGGCAAGUAAUGGUUUGUUUCACUGUUUAAGCCUUUCAUGUUUGGUGACAUGUUUGUGACUCUGUCAGAGAAAUUACCAACUUGCUUUCUCUACUGCUACUGAAUAAACUUAAUCAGGGACUAUAGGCCAGUUGGUGCAUUUGUUGUUGAGCAGACUUGCAGCACUUUAUUGAAAUAGCUUCCAUUAUUGAGAGUUAUAAAAUCAUCGAAAAAGGCAAGCCAAGCCGAGAGUGGGCUUGUAAGGGAUGCAGUGCACAGGCAAUCCUAAAAAGGUUGUGGGUCACCAAGCUGUAUUAUGGAUGCUCCCCUUUGGGCAGAAAUGUUCUAUAUUUGCUUCAAGCAGCCUGUAGUAGUGCAUUUAAUUAUGUGCUAGGAUUGUGCUUCUUGGGAAGUUUUCUCUGUUUUUUCAUUCCAUUGUUUACAGAAUGGGAAUUUAUAAGUUGUAUUUGUGUGCUGACAGCAAGAAAAGAGAACGUGAGCAACAUGGUGCAUCUGUUAGACAGAUGUCUUAUACACACUGAUCAGCCACAACUUGUCUAAUAUCGUUUGGGUCCCCCUCGCGCUGCCAAAACAGCUUUGAUGCAUCGAGGCAUGGACUCCACAAUACCUCUCAAUGUGUCCUGUGGUAUCUUACACCAAGACAUUAGCAGCAGAUCUUUUAAGUCAUGCAAGUUGCAAAGUGGGGCCUCCAUGGAUCGGAUUUGUUGUUCCAGCACAUGCCACAGAUGUUCAAUUGGAUUAAGAUCUGGGGAAUUUGGAGGUCAAAGCAACACCUUGAACUAUUUUUCAUGUUCCUCAAAUCAUUCCUGAGCAAUAUUUGCAGUGUGGCAGGGUGCAUUAUCCUGCUGAAAGAGGCGACUGCCAUCAGUGAGCACCAAUGCCAUGAAGGGGUGUGAGUCAUCUGCAGCAAUCUCUAGGUGGAUGGUACGUGUCAGUGUAACAACCACAUGAGUGCCAGGACCCAUGGUUUUCCCAGAGCAUAACACUGCAUUUGCCGGUCAGUCUUCUUCAGGUAGUGCAUCCUGCAUCGAUCUUAAUGAAGACCUGAGGUCGAAACGUUGAUUUUUGCACGGUUGUAUGUGAUUCUUUGAAGAUUUAUUAAAACACCAUCACAUUGAUUUGCAAGACCUGUGAGUGCUCCCUUAUAUAUUUUCUUUGUAUAUAUGUAAAGAAAGCAGAAACUAGGAACUUAUUCUUGAUAUUCUUUGCAAUUGACCUCUUAAGUCAUUAAUUUCCGAAGCUAACCAUAAUGGUUAAUGAACUAAUGUAAAUUACUCACCUAUACAUUGUUCAAUAUGCACCCGGUUCUCAGUUGUGUGUACAUAUACAUAUACACACACAAAUAUAAUGUGUGUGUGUGUAUGUAUAGGUGCACACAACUGAGUGUGUGUGUGUGUGUGUGUAUGUAUAGGGUACACACAACUGAGAACAGGGUGCAUAUUGGACAAUGUAUAGGUGAGAGGAUUAGAGCCCAUGUAAGGAUAAAAGUCUAUUAAUAUUCCUCAUUAAUUGGUAAAUGAUUUUUAAAAAAAAGUUUUAGGUAUUUCGGUCCAGACACAAUUAUCGUUUUUUGUUUUCAUUUAAUAAUAUGGCAUCUAGGAUUACUGAAACGAAAAAUAAAUUUAAAAAUGAUUUUUACAUCAAAUACUUGGAUUCUGAGGGUUGUCUUUCUGCAAACCACUUGUUAGUGAAGGGGUUAAACACUGAAUGAGUUAAACCAAUGAAUGUGCCAGUCACGACUGUCAUCAUUGGUAUGUGUCAGAAAAAAACAUGGAUUUGUUUAAUAAACCAUCUCCUUUAUUGCAGUCAUUUACAUUAGUUCAUUAACCAUUAUGGUUAGCCUUGGAAAUUAAUGACUGAAGCGGUCAAUUGCAAAGAAUAUCAUGUUCCGGACAUUCCUAGCAUCUGAUUUUUUUUUUACAUGAUUAUAAAACGGCAAAUUAUCUGCAGAAUUUCUUGGAACAUCUGGAAGGGACUUGUGGCCAGUAAACUUAUUUGCUGUCUGGUACAUCCCCAAACAGACUUUCGUUUACCAUUUUGAACAUUUUAUUGUUCUACUUGCAAUUUAUUUUUACUGGGUGUGCAUGAUCAUUCAUAUUUUCCAUGUGCAACACCAGAGGGGAGGAACAAAGAUGGAAAAAUUAAUAAUACAUUUACGUGCAAUCUUGAUACAACUUUGAAGGUUUGUUUUUGAGUAGGGCUUAUUUUUAUUGUUUGUCAAUUACUUAUUAUUACCCCCAUUGCAUCAUUUUAUCAAGUGCUGCAGAAUCUGAUAGUAAUAUGUAAAUGCCAAUGGUCAUAUUUUGUGCAUUUCUAUGCUCUACAUAUGCACUACAAACACUGUGUACUAGAUAUUGUCUCUUUUAAUUAGAAAAUAACUGUCACUUUUUCAAAGGACUCUAAAAUAGCACCAGUCGGAAUGUGAAAUCUUUUUUUUUAUUGCAAUUAGAGAUUCAUUGUGCACAUACAGUUUUUUAUGUACUUCCUGUUUUCUUACAAUUGCUAUUAAGUUGUGAAUCUUACCAUGCUUAACCCCUUCAGGACGGAGUCAAUAGUGCACGUUCUGAUCAAAACAAAAUGUAAACAAAAACUGGAAUUUGCGCUAUAUGUCUGUUCAACCGUAAUUCACCGCUGUCACAUUAAGUGCACCCACACUUAUUAUAUAUCAUUUUGUUCAGGAGAAACAGAGCUUUAAUUUAUCAUUAACUAUUCAUAUAUGGAACAUAAUUUAUUAUGAAUAAAAUUUAAAAAAAUGUGAGAAAAUAAGAUUUUUUUAAAAAUUUGUAUUUCCGUCUGACAUUUUAGCUGUGAAUGUCAUAAUACUGUUAGGUUUUACUGCAAAAAAAUGCACAUAUUUGUAAUCAGUAAUGUCUCACGAGUACAACAGUACCCCCCAUUAACAGGUUUUAUGGUGUUUUGGAAAGUUACAGGGUCAAAUAUAGAACGUUCCAUUUUCAAAUUGAAAUUUGCCAGAUUAGUAAUGUUACCUUUGAGACGGUGUGGUAGCCCAGGAAUGAGAAUUACCCCCAUAAUGGCAUACCAUUUGAAAAACCCAAGGUAUUGAAAGUGGGGUAUGUUUAGUCUUUUUUAGUAGUCACAAACACUGGCCAAAGUUAGCGUUCAUAUUUGUUUUUGUGUGACAAAAGCAAAAAUCUAAUAUUUGGCCAGUGUUUGUGACUAAGUGGCUACUAAGAAAGACUGGACAUACCCCACUUGCAAUACCUUGGAUACCACUUGCAAAUGGUAUGCCAUCAUGGGGGUAAUGCUCAUUCCUGGGCUACCAUACGCUCUCAAAGGCAACAUAACCAAUCUGGUAAAUUUCAGUGUCCAAAAAAUGAAAUGCAAGCCUUUUAUGUGACUCUCUAACUUUCCAAAACACCCUAAAACCUGUACAUGGGGGGUACUGUUAUUCUCGGGAGACUUCACUAAACACAAAUAUUAGUGUUUUAAAACAGUAAAACAUAUUACAACAAUAAUAUAGUCCAUAAAAGUGCUGUUCGUUUGUAAAAAAUGCAAAAAAUUUCACUUUUACUUAAAAUAUCAUCAUUGUAAUACAAUUUACCAGUUUGAAACAUUAAUAUUUGAGUUCAGCAAAGUCUCCUGAGUAAAACAGUACCCCCUAUGUACAGGUUUUAUGGUGUCUUGGAGAGUUACAGGGUCAAAUAUAGUGCUUGCGAAUUAAACUCUCUGCACCUUUUCCCUGUGUUGUCAGGCAUGUCAAUCAAAUUUUAAUUAAUCAAAUCACAUAAUUAUGUUAAAAGAUUACGUAAAUAUACACGUAGAAUUUUAAUAUAUAUGCAUUUAUAGGUAUUUAAAUUCUACGUGUAUACUAAUGUAAUCUUUUAUGUAAUUAUAUGUAUUUAUCUCUAUAUAUCUAUAUUUGCGGUUAUUUGUAUUUUAUAUAUAGAUAUAUAUAUAUAUAUAUAUAUAUAUAUAUAGAAUGUCAUCCUAAGUGUAUUUUGUUACCAAUAUAUAUAUAUAUAUAUAUAUAUAACAAAAUAAAGUUAGAAUGAAAUUACAUAUGAAUAUAUAAUUUAUAUAAAAUUUUGUUUCAAUAUUUUAUUUAUUUAUUGUUUUAUUUUAUUUAUUAUUGUAAUUAUACCUAUAUAUAAGUGUAUUUUAAUACUAAUAUAUGUACUUAAAUUACUAUUAAAAUACACUUUGUAUGACGUUACAUAUAUAUAAUAUGAAUAUAUAUUAUAUAUAUACAUAUAUUAUAUAUAUAUAUAUAAAUACAUUUAUUUUAUUUUUAAACAUGUUGAAUUAAUUUGUUUUUACUUUCCCACCAUCAGGGGGACUGUCUGAUAUUUCAGACAGUCCCCCUGCUGGCAGAUCCACAGCCAGCUAGAGGGGGCCAUGUGAUCGCUCUUUGAGAGCGAUCACAUGGACCCCGGGGGCCUCAUUUGCCGGGAGAGGGCUGCCUGGGCUGUCAGGCAGCCGUCCCGAAGAGGAUCACGGCGGAGGUAAGUACGCCGGACCUCCAGGGGCUCAAAGCAGUUACGGCGUUCUAUGCCGCCGCAACAGCUUUAAAGCCCACUUAAUGUGGGACGGCAUAGAACGCCGUAACGGCGUUAACGGGUUAAAGCAACGCUAAACUUGAACUUUUAAUUCUUUGUUUGAUUGAUUGUUGCAGCCUCUUGCAGGUCUGAGAGAGGGUUGUGUGUGUUUUAAUUGUAUGAAAUAUCAUUUUUGCUUUUCUUUUUUUUUUUUUUAAGAGGGUUAUUCACUAAAGUGAGAAUUCAAAGUUAAUUUUAAAUUUAAGUCCAGAGUAGCCAACCUGACAGCAUAACUUAGAGAAUUUUUCCAGUUUGGCUAUUUUGACCUUGAAUUUUAAUUUCGCGUUGAAUUCAAACUUUAGUUAGUAACCCUGUAGUUGUAUUCAUCAUUCGUUUACCACAUUUAUCUUUAUCUGUCUUUUUAUGUAAAAGUGAGACCACAUUUCUUUUAGAGGUAGGUUACAAAUUUUCUUUCCCACUUUAUGCAAAUUUACCUAAGAUCUGAUACCAUUGCUUGUAGAGUCAAGGUUAUCAGUGACAACUAUCUUCAGCUGUGUCUGGUCAGGUGUCUGGUUCUUGGCCUAUAAAAGCCACUUCCUGUCUCUGUACCUUUGCCAGAUUAUUAUGGUUCCUGUACUCUCUAAUCAAGCGUGUUCCUGUUUCUCCUUCCUGUUGCUGAAUUUGGACUGUUUUGACUUUGCUGCUUCUCCUUCCCACUGACCUCGGCUUGCCUCACUACGAUUAUCAUCUUUCUGUUCCAGUCUCCCAUCUCUGCUUAAGACCAGAAGGCCACUCAAGGCUCAGGGGCUCAACCACCUGGGUAACGAGUGGCUACCUCUGGCAGAAAACAUUGCUGAUCUGGCUACUGGACUCCAAAAUUUUGUAACAUCAAUAUCAUUACAGUACCAUAACUACUAAAAUGAGCAGUAGUGGUUAUGGUGCUUAACCCCUUAAGGACACAUGACAUGUGUAACAUGUCAUGAUUCCCUAAUAUGCCAGAAGUUUGGUCCUUAAGGGGUUAAGGUAUCCCUUUAAAAGGUUACUCCAGGCACCAUACCCUCUUUGAAGUGGUCACAGUUCCUGGAGUCUGUUAGUGCAGAAUUUCGCUUUGAAACUCUACAAAUACAGAGUUUAACCCUUUUGCUGCCAGAAGUGUAACUCCACUUCAGGCAACGUCACUGAGGCGUCAUUUGCCAACCAAAAAUAUGAGUUUUGGUAAUAUAAAUUCUGAGCAUAUUUCCGUUCACAGAAUGUCAUCGAUUGACUGAGAGUGAUCAGCUGAUGCUCCAGUGAACGAACAUCAGGAUCAACAUCCGGCUUCUGCAACUCUGCAGAAGUUGGAUGUCAUAAUCCUGCUGCUCAGAAGAUCUGGUGCCAGGUGGGAACCCAGGUAAAAGGGCAAUCUGUUGUAAAAUUUAUUUUGGUUCCUGAAGUUAUUACUGAACUAUAUGCAAUAGUUUUUCUACUUUGUCUCAGAAUAUCUUUUGACUGGGUUGGAAUUUCUGUGAUAUUCCAACACAGUCAAAAUGAGUAUUUCAUAAAAUUCUAUCUUGUUGUGAGAAAAAGUCUGUUCUGCUGAACAGACAUACUAAUGGCAGGGUUAUGACUGAAAACUCUAUUUUGCACACAAAAUAUUAUGCAUUUUGUGAAGCUAAAAUCUACUGUGCCUAAAAGGGGAAAUGUAACUUCUCUUAAAAAUCCCCUAUAACUUGUUAAUUUUUUUUUUUUUUUAGAGAUACACUAUUUUCUUUUAAAUGUACAUUAAAGGAACACUAUAGUGUUAGGAAUAUAAACCUUUAUUCCUAACACUAUAGUGUCCCUUUGCCCCUCCGGCAGGUGAAGGUUUAAAAACCCUUUAAAAUACUUGUUCCAAUGCCAAAGUAAGGGGGAACCUAAAGCACAUACAGGGAGAGCGCCACACGGGCUUUAGACUUUCCCCAUAGGAAAGCAUAGCAUGAUGACGUACAACAUCAUUACAUUAAGUUAAACUCAGUGAAACAGUCGGAAGAGCUCUAGUGGCUUAAACCAACCAAUUAGAAAGCUCUGAGUCAAAUUGCAGUCUUUCCCCACCUUGCGGAGCUCAGUGUAUGUGGUGCCUACGCUGGGUGAAGGUAGAUUAUUUUUUUAGCAUCGGGUUUUAUUUUUUCGGCGUGUUUUUUUAUUUUUUAUUUUGGGGCUGAAAAAAACAAGAUUUUAAACAUCUAAUGGUAAGUAUGAUUUUCUUUUUACAGUUAUUUAGUUAUAUUGAUUCCCCCUCACUAUUUUAGAGUGAGGGACAUAGGUAGGAUCUUAUUUUAUUUGAGGCUUGGGGACCCCUCAUCACCUGGGAAGGAUACACUUAGGGCCCCCGCCUGUCACCCAUGGGUGCAGGUCGCUUGGGGCAGUAGGUCCCCCCUAUUGUCAACCCGAUGCUCAAAGGUGGAGGCCGGGUGAGGGGCAAUAGGUCCUCCCCCCCCUAUUGUCACUAAGGCCCCCCACCUGCCACUCAUGGGUGGUGACUGGGGGGAGGCAUUAGGUCCUACUACAGGAGAGGGUUCAGUGGAGGAGAGGUGAAUCUGAGUAUCAUUAGCAUGUAGAUGGUAUUUAAAUCAAAAAUAAAUUUAAAGGGACACUAUAGUCACCUGAACAACUUUAGCUUAAUGAAGCAGUUUUGGUGUAUAGAACAUGCCCCUGCAGCCUCACUGCUCAAUCCUCUGCCAUUAAGGAGUUAAAUCCCUUUGUUUAUGAACCCUAGUCACACCUCCCUGCAUGUGACUUGCACAGCCUUCCAUAAACACUUCCUGUAAAGAGAGCCCUAUUUAGGCUUUCUUUAUUGGAAGUUCUGUUUAAUUAAGAUUUUCUUAUCCCCUGCUAUGUUAAUAGCUUGCUAGACCCUGCAAGAGCCUCCUGUAUGUGAUUAAAGUUCAAUUUAGAGAUUGAGAUACAAUUAUUUAAGGUAAAUUACAUCUGUUUGAAAGUGAAACCAGUUUUUUUUUCAUGCAGGCUCUCAAUCAUAGCCAGGGGAGGUGUGGCUAGGGCUGCAUAAACAGAAACAAAGUGAUUUAACUCCUAAAUGACAGUGAAAUUGCAGGGGAAUGAUCUAUACACUAAAACUGCUUUAUUUAACUAAAGUAAUUUAGGUGACUAUAGCGUUCCUUUAAUAAGGUUACUGAAUUUUGGUUUGUCCUUAGAACAAGAUUUUAAUUAUUUCUCUAUUUGAUUUAAAGGAACACUAUAGUCACCAGAACAACUACAGCUUAUUGCAUUUGUUCUGGUGAGUAGAAUCGUUACCUUCAGUUUUUUUGCUGUAAACACUGUCUUUUCAAAGAAAAUGCAGUGUUUACAUUACAGCCUAGUGAUAACUUCACUGGCCACUCCUCAGAUAGCUGUUAGAGAUCUUUCCUGGGUUAUGGCUGCCUAAAAUGCAUCCAGACAUUCAGUGUCUCCUCCCUCUGCAUGCAGACACUGAACUUUCCUCAUAGAGAUUCAUUGAUUCAAUUCAUCUCUAUGAGGAGAUGCUGAUUGGCCAGGGCUGUGUUUGAAUCAUGCUGGCUCUGCCCCUGAUCUGCCUCUUUGUCAGUCUCAGCCAAUCCUAUUGGGAAGCAUUGUGAUUAGAUCAGGCCACCACUUCUGAUGAUGUCAGCAGGCAGUGGAUAGGUCUAAAGGAAACAGAGCCAGAGCUAGCAGCUCCAGACUUGAAUACUAGUAAGAUUUUGCUAUUUUUGUAAGACAUGAGGAGACCAGGGGGGCUAGAUGGGGGUUUUAACCCUAAAGAGUCAGGAAUACAAGUUUGUGUUCCUGACCCUAUAGUGAUCCUUUAAUGUCGGAAUGGCAAUUAUUAAAGUGAUAAUCAUGGUAUGUUUUAAUGUUGUUUAAACAGAGAAUAAAAAAUGACAAAUUAAGAUAGCCACAAGCAGGCUAUUUUAGCAUGCAAAAAAAAAAAACUAAGAUUUUGGCAUGCAAAAAGAAAAAUAGGCCAAAACCAUCCAUUAAAGCUGUAUAGGUCCCAGAGUGUGUCUUUAAAAUAAAUGACAAAAAAUUUAGCACAACUAGUAGUGAUUCUUCUUUAAAACAAACAUUUCAAAUAUAAUUUUAUGUACAUUAUUGAUUUUGUCUCACUUGCUGCUCAGUCACUCGAGACAAGUUGCAGAGUUAUGAGUAAUUGGUCUGGUUGAAGUAAUCAGAUCUUUUUCAUCACAGUCAUUAUAAAAAAAGACCAGGCAAACACUUUUUAUUGUGUAAUUAUUUUUGGUUAUACAUCACAUCAAUGAAAAUAAACAUGUUUCCUUCCUUGUUUGCAAUAUUAAUACAUAUAAUGCUUAUCACUUUAAUAAUUGCUAUUCAAACAUUGAAUGGAAUAGAGACAUCAUUCAAAUCUUGUUCUAAGGACAAACAAAUAUUCUUAUCUCCACAAUACAUCAGCCAGAUAAAUGGACAACCAUGACAUUAGAAUUGAAAAGAUUUAAAGGGACAAAAUUGCAAUUAUUUUACAUCUUCAUUAAUCUUAAAGGGCACUCCAGUGGGAGAUUUUACACACUUUUUAGUAACUACAAAAAAGUAGGGAAAAUUAAAACAUUUGUCAUCUUAGAAAAAUAUUCAGAUCUAAAUUAAGGUUACGAUUUAAAAAGGUUUAGCUAACAAACUUAAAACACGAUCAGCAUGUCAUUAAUAGGUUCAAAGUGGAAUUCAGCAUACAUUUCAAAUGUUAAGGAUGAGAGCUGCAUAGGAAAACAUUCUCCAAGUAACCUAUGUUUUAAGUUCAGCUAUGUUGGUCACAAAAAUCGACUACUUGCUUGAAUUAGGUGUGCAAAAAGUAGUUAUUUACUGCCAACCUCAGAAUUAAAAUACGUCUUUGAGCUUCCGUUUACUUAAUGCAAAUUAUGACAGCCUCACUUGUUGAAAGUUGCUUCAUCACAUACAAAAGGAUUAUAGAAGUUCCCUUGAAAUGGCUUAUGUCAGUGGGAUCUUCACCACCUGUUUUUGCAUGUAUGCGUGAAGAUGCCAAAGGCAAUUUGUGCAUAGCACAGGAAGAUGAUGAUGUCAGCUUUAGAUUAUUGCUGGCUGAUGUCUGUGGGAGGGCUUACCAACAAUUAGGCUCCUUUGUCUUUUUCAUUGCUAUGCAUGAGAUAAAGUUCCCUGUAGGAUUUUUCUUUUCUUUUCUUUUUUUUUUUAGGUUUUAAUGUAAAAACAAAGUUAAAAUAGUAGAAAAAAUAAUAAUCUUCAUUAAAACACAGUCAAUACAUAUUCUCUUAAUGAAUGCAAAAUUUAGCAAAGUACCUUUUACUCAAGAAAAUAGUAAAGACUCUAACUUUAGUAACCUGUUUUACAGUAAUAAACAAUAUGCGCACUUGAGAUUUUUCAUAUUAACUUUGAAUACAGGUAGUUUCACUGCAGCUGGUCUGUUAUUUUUUGUUGCUGUUUUAAUUUCAUGUCAUGAUAUUUUCUUGUUGCAGAAACUUGGACACCACUGUAUGCCAACAUGAAUGAUCUUGUAAGCCCAACACCAGUGGAACUUCCCAAACAUAUCCUGGAUGUCUGGGUAAUUGUACUCAUCAUACUGGCCACCAUCUUGGUCAUGACAUCUCUGUUACUGUUUCCGGCAGCAUCUGUCAUUAUCUAUAGAGUAAGAACUCAUCCAAUUCGAAGUACCAGCUAGUAGUAAAGGAACAGAACUGGACUAUUGCUGUUCUUGAAGAGCAUGGCAUGCUUGGGGUUGGACAUGAAGAAAAAAAAAAAAAAGAGACCAGUUCAAAGUGGAAUAUUUUUCCACACUGUGCAAACACUAAUGCAUGGAUCAAUGUGUACUUUCUAGAGGAUACAUCCAUAAAAGGAAUUGUGGAUCAAAAAUAUUGUGUGCAACAUAGUGUUGGCUUGUACCACUUCAUUAAAGAAUAACUUAUCAAUGGACUUUUGUGAGGGAGCUGUUUAAAUAUUUGCACGUGGUACUCACUGGCACUCAACAAGGUUUCAGUCAUUUCACAGUGCUCUGUGUUUGUUUGUUGAGCUACAAGUAAAUAAUUUGCAAUUUAGAUCUAUUACAGUGAAUUCAAAUUUCCACACUGUUAUUUAUUAUAUCCCGUUACAAUAAAAACUUUAUUGUAGAAGUUGCUGAUUUGCAGUAGUUCAUGUAACCAACAAAAUGGAAGUUUAUUUUUCUCAUAUAUCACAAUUGAAGCUAAGAUGGAGCACAUUGGAUUAAGAAUGCUAAUGUAAAAUGUAUUUAUUGGCAGUGGAUUUAUUUGGAACAGUACUUUUUAUGACUCUCUUUGGUGUACGGUUAAGAAGAAAUAAAUAUAACCUGUUAGCAGCCUUUAAUGAAAGUUAGCAUUCUAGAAUGUGAUAUUGCCUACAGUAGGUGUAUGAAGUAUCUGACUCCUGACUGCUGUGGUGUACAAAUCUAGAACAGUGGUACUCAACCCAUUUGUCAAGGCUUACCAACAGUCUAGAGUUUCUCAGGAUCCUCAUUGGAAUAGAAUUCACAAAUGCCUAGAUCCUAGACUGUUGGGGUACCUCAGGGCUUGGGUUGAGAAACACUGUCAUAGAGAAACUUUCCAAGCUGGCAUGAAACUGGAAUAGGAGUAGGGUCAUUCCAGUGAUGCAACAUGCAAUACUGCAGUUACACUGCAACCAAAACUAUAUGUCAACCUGGUGCACUUGUACACCAAUCUGGCAGGCAUGCCUAAAAGCUCAAUCCCUCUCUAAAAUACCAGAUUAUUGCUAAAUAACAUCACAAUGUGUUUUUUAAAAACUUUUCUCUUGGCCAGAAGUGAAAGCUCAGUAACAAAUCAAAAAGGAUUCUCGGGAAGUUAUGCUAGAGGUGUGCUAGUAUACUCAAGAAGUUACCAGCUGAAAGUUAGAUAUACCUUGUCUACAGAGAGAUCUUAUGACCUACUCAAUAAACCCUAUGUUUUAUCAACUAUGUAAGAUUGUUAAAAUCCAAAUCAAAUAUGCUAGCCUAGUCACGCAUACUAAAUAACUGGACACCGUUUGCACAGUUACAUAAACAUUAAAUUCACUGGAGAUCAUCUUUUCAGCAUGUAUCUGCAGGCCCUGAGUACAUAGUGCUGUAAUUGAUUUCUAACUGAUUUUGGAAGCAGUUUGCAAAUAACAUGUUCAGCUAAACUAAGGAGAUCACCUGAGACUUCACACUCAAGCUGACUGGGUAGGUGUGUUGAGGUCAAAUGAAAAGCAAAGGAGAGUUUGUAUGCUGAUCACUCUAAAAUUAGUAUAUGAUUUUAAAUUUAGUAAAACUUUGGGGGAAUUGAUCAUGCUGAUGACAAAUAGAUGUCUGUUGGUCAGAAAAUUGUUAUCUAUGGAUUUUGUAAAUGCACAAAAAUAAAAAAAUAAAAACUAUGAAAAAAUGUUUUUCAUUUUCAGAUUCCAAGCAUGUCUUUGUUUUUCUUGAGAAGUGCAGACAUUUUUACAAUCCGGUUAAUUAUUACUGAAUGCUGACAACUGCAC